rnacentral:rRNA from 1 species
AUUGAACGCUGGCGGCAUGCCUAACACAUGCAAGUCGAGCGGAGCGGCGGACGGGUGAGUAAUUCCUACGAAUCUGCCUGGUAGUGGGGGAUAACGUCCGGAAACGGGCGCUAAUAUCGCAUACUACCAGAUGAGCCUCGGUCGGAUUAGCUAGUUGGUUGGGUAAAGGCCUACCAAGGCGACGAUCCGUAACUGGUCUGAGAGGGUGAUCAGUCACACUGGAACUGAGACACGGUCCAGACUCCUACGGGAGGUAGAAGUGGGGAACAUUGGACAAUGGGCGAAAGCCUGAUCCAGCAAUGCCGCGUGUGUGAAGAAGGUCUUGGGAUUGUAAAGCACUUUAAGUUGGGAGGCGUUAUCAACAGAAUAAGCACCGGCUAACUUCGUGCCAGCAGCCGCGGUAAUUC